CAAAAUCGAGUAUGUACUUGACUCGACUCUCAUCAUCACUGAUGUGAGAAAAGAACGGCAGCUGGAUGUGAAAGUAGGAAACUUACUGGCCUACUUUGAAAAACUAGCAAAUGUGUGCCAUGAAAUGACUGCACGACUGGCCCCAGUAUCAACUGUUGAGGUUAUUGUUGAUAAGGUAUGUGCGUGUACCAUAUUUUUCCACUGGCAGCAUGACUAACAGGGCAGGGCAUCUCCGGGUUCAAG